ACACUUAACAUGGCAGAGGAGAUAUCAUAAUCACAAGGGUGGUUUCCCCAGGGCAAGGCUUUUCCAUCCAUUGCAUUCCAGAUGUGCUCACCUCUGUGAUGUCCCCACAUGUGGAAACCUGGACUGCAUAAUUUGUAGUAGCGGGGGACUGCAUUAAUACCUUCCUCUG
ensembl:snRNA U1 U1 spliceosomal RNA